GACAAACAAUCACCUGUGUCAGGUGUGCUGGAACAGAGACGCACCGACAAUAAGAAGGAGUCUAUUUAGAGCAGCAAGAAACCAACAGAAAUGUCUGGAGUUUGAUUCAAGUUAGCCAUUAGCACAGAGGAGUUCCCACCGCCAGCUAACCUGGACCGCUCUGUGGCAGCGGAAACAACCAGAGCAAAUGGCAGGAACACCAGGAGAGGUCAAAUCAAUACUUCCAGUACAUUGGAGAUGAACAAAAGGAAGCAGUGGUCAGCCUGGCAUCAUGAUGAGCUCAGCCUGGAUGAUAAUGGCAGAUGACUGCAGGUGAACGCACAACUCUCAUCAGUUUCCGUUCGAGAAGUGAGCGGAGAUCAUCUGUGACAAAGCCUUACAGAAAGACGAUCUCUUUGGGGGGGGAAAAAAGAAAAUCUCUGGAAUCAACUCCCCGGUGACGCUAACAAGAACUGAAGUCGACAGAUUGUAUCGCCCAGGGUCAAGCACCUCCACCAUAGUCCACCAUCGCAAAAGUGGCGAUUUCAACACAAAGGCCGGAAAGUGAGUUGUGAGAGACGAGGAAGACAUGUGCCAAAGGUCAAAUCAUGACGGCCGCGUCAAGGACCGAGACGUCCGUAUGUGAGUCACGUGCUUUACCUCUGCACCAUCGCCACUCCC